rnacentral:rRNA from 1 species
CGAGGGGUGCAAGCGUUGCUCGGAAUUAUUGGGCGUAAAGGGUUGGUAGGUGGUCUUAUUUGUCUGGGGUGAAAGCCUUGAGCUUAACUCAAGAAGUGCCCCAGAAACGGUAAGACUAGAGUCUCGGAGAGGGUCGUGGAAUUCCCGGUGUAGCGGUGAAAUGCGUAGAGAUCGGGAGGAACACCAGCGGCGAAGGCGGCGACCUGGACGAGUACUGACACUCAACAACGAAAGCGUGGGGAGCAAACAGGAUUAGAUACCCUGGUAGUCCACGCUGUAAACGAUGGGUACUAGGUUUGGUGGGUCUUGACCCCCGCUGAACCGGCGCUAACGCACUAAGUACCCCGCCUGGGAAGUACGGUCGCAAGACUA